GCAGGCUGAGCUUUUGACUGAACACAGCCUGGACAGCUGUACAAACUGGUUUGCACUAAUCGCCACCGUCGACUUGAAAGCUUUCUGCCAGUGAACAUACAAGAUGCCAGGUGGUGAAGCAGAAAUAUUCAGUCACCCUGAAAUGAGAUGCUCAGGAUUCCCAAAUAAUGGCAGUCGUUAAACAACAUGUAACGAAUGAAUGGCUUACCUUCAUACGGCUUCCCCAGCAGGAAUUAAUUGUGCCACAACGUGGUAUUUGUCAGCACCAUGAAACGUCCUUAAUACUGAGAGCUACGUUCUGACCCCACUGUUGGCAAUGAGAAACCCUCCUGAGACUAUGAGAGCAGAACUUGGUUACCUGAACAACUCCAGAAAUUACUACUGCUACACAUCUUGGAUGGAAGGCUGCUUUUAUCCCUCACUCUUUGAAUGGGUUUAGAAGCAAAGAAAAAUAAGCAUAAAAAAGGGCCCUUAGCAUCCUUCUCGAAACCUAAAGCGAAGCACCCACAGGUAUGCGAAGCAAUCCCAGCUCUCUGUACAGCAGAGGAGCAGCAGGAUGCCCACAGGAGGGCACCUACGUUUCAUGGUUGGGUAUGAGCUCCAGGGAGAUACAGCUCAUGCUGACACAACUCACACACUUGUCACCGCAGUGCUGCACCACACGCCUACACGGGGCUCUCAGAGCUGCACUUACAUUCAGUCUCAGAAAGAUCCUAUUUAGAUUUCAGCAAACUCUCUGUGCUUUGUUGGGAGGGGAGGGCUGCCAGCCUGCUGACCCAUCCCAGUGCUCCCUGCUGGCUCUGUGUUUCUAUGACUGCCACAAAACAGUUUUUGGCACGUGGACCUUUCCAGCAAUGCUCUGUAGAGGUGCUGGUUUAGCUGGACACUCCAGCAUACUGAAAGUGGACCAAAGCAAAAGCAACCAGCAGAGAAUAUGAAUUACAGAUUGUUGCUUAGAGUGUACAGCGACAACCUGCAUUUAAUUUUUCUGUCUACACAAACUGGGCCAACAACAACUCCAGAGCUGCAGAACAACUACACAAGUUGCUCUAAGGCGGUCCAACUCCUGACCAAGUUAAAAUAGGUGCUACAGCCUCACCUUGCCCAAUUCAUCUGUACUGAAGCAAGUGCUGGUAGCUCGUGUGAUGGUUUGUACCAGCUCAGCUGCCAGUCUGUAGUGUCUGCCCAUGCCUACUUCUCAUGCAAGUGGCCUACUAGAAAUUGGAGAAACAUCUUUGAAAGUCCAUGGAAAAUGUAUAACUGACAUUCAGUGUACCAGCAGUCAAACUGAGUGUCCACAGCUCUCAACUUGUGAAGUCGUGCAUCUUGCCAUAUUAAAGUCUUCUCCUCCACCUUCUCCAAGGGCAUAUUAGAAAAUGACUGGUGGCUCCCAGCCAACACCAAAUGUCAGAGCUCAUUCUCAUGCCGCUGGGUUACAAUGCAAGAUUACGAAGGUCCUCAAAGGCAUUGCACCAAAAGUCCUACCUCAUCUUCCCAGGUUAUCCAUCCUGAACCAGAUAUGGUGAUAAACUGCAGGCUGCUGGACUGAGUUCAGGGUUUCUCUGCACUUCCUAUACCACACACAUUAUAUUCCCCAAACUAUGUAUUUUUCUGCCCUGUGAUUGGGUUUUUUCGUUCAAUUUUUUUUUCCCGAUCAGAAAACUGACUGAUUCAACACUUAUCAUCUUUAUUCAUCAUUUUUUGAGGCAUUUUCCAUGGCCUUUAUCUAAGAAGAAAGAACUCUGUGAACCUAUGAUGUAUAUCAAAUGUGGCUUUAAUACCUUAAGAGAAUGAUAACACUCAGACUUUAACCACAUUUCAAAAGAGAUUGAACACACAAUGCAGUUUCCAUGGGAUCAUGACCAGCACUCACUAAGCUUCAGGUGAAGCAGUGCACUUAGUAUUAAGGGUGUGAAGAAAGCUACGAAAAUAAACAGGACUUCUUCAUUACUUAAAACAAUGUAUUUGUCUAGGGACCAAAUUCUGAACUGGUUGAUCUCAAUGUAAACUAAACCCCUGCAUGUUUGAAAUGCUGCCCCUACUUGUUUUCAUGGAUUUUCAAACUGCAAAUAGUUUCAAAAAGAAAAAACCCAAACCAAACCAAAACCACUCACACUUCAUUUCCAAAUACUUCGCUGUCAUUAGACACUUGCAGACUUUGAAACUCUCUCACUAGCUUUACUACCAAUGGGGAAACAAAGUCGUUUGCAUGUGAGCACUGCCCUGCAGACCUCUCUCUCACAAGGACAUGAUGGAGACUGGCAGGGAAAGAGCACCAGGGUUCAUCGACCUCUCCGGUGUUCAAAGUGUGUAUUUUCUAUUUGUACAUUUAAUAUACAAAUAAAUACGGAGAGC
rnacentral:lncRNA from 7 species